rnacentral:rRNA from 1 species
AGCGAACGCUGGCGGCAGGCCUAACACAUGCAAGUCGAGCGAACUCUUCGGAGUUAGUGGCGGACGGGUGAGUAACACGUGGGAACGUGCCUUUUGGUUCGGAAUAACUCAGGGAAACUUGUGCUAAUACCGAAUGUGCCCUUCGGGGGAAAGAUUUAUCGCCAUUAGAGCGGCCUGCGUCUGAUUAGCUAGUUGGUGAGGUAACGGCUCACCAAGGCGACGAUCAGUAGCUGGUCUGAGAGGAUGACCAGCCACACUGGGACUGAGACACGGCCCAGACUCCUACGGGAGGCAGCAGUGGGGAAUCUUGCGCAAUGGGCGAAAGCCUGACGCAGCCAUGCCGCGUGAAUGAUGAAGGUCUUAGGAUUGUAAAAUUCUUUCACCCGGGACGAUAAUGACGGUACCCGGAGAAGAAGCCCCGGCUAACUUCGUG